UAGGGAAUCUUCGGCAAUGGACGAAAGUCUGACCGAGCAACGCCGCGUGAGUGAAGAAGGUUUUCGGAUCGUAAAACUCUGUUGUUAGAGAAGAACAAGGACGUUAGUAACUGAACGUCCCCUGACGGUAUCUAACCAGAAAGCCACGGCUAACUACGUGCCAGCAGCCGCGGUAAUACGUAGGUGGCAAGCGUUGUCCGGAUUUAUUGGGCGUAAAGCGAGCGCAGGCGGUUUCUUAAGUCUGAUGUGAAAGCCCCCGGCUCAACCGGGGAGGGUCAUUGGAAACUGGGAGACUUGAGUGCAGAAGAGGAGAGUGGAAUUCCAUGUGUAGCGGUGAAAUACGUAGAUAUAUGGAGGAACACCAGUGGCGAAGGCGGCUCGCUGGUCUGUAACUGACGCUGAGGCUCGAAAGCGUGGGGAGCAAACAGG
rnacentral:rRNA from 1 species